rnacentral:tRNA from 1 species
GCCGGCGUGGUGAAAUGGUAGACACGAUGGAUUCAAAAUCCAUUGCUUGCAAGAGCGUGUCGGUUCAAGUCCGACCGCCGGUACCA